CAUAUACAUUCUUCUGGAAUCGAGCUGUCUGCGAUUGAAUGAACUAUAUAGUAUUGAGAGAUUUUACAAUUAAGUGUUUGUCUUUAAUUUCUAAUUGCGACUACCAUCCUAAAAUUUUCAUUUGAGUUGAAAUCUGUUUAACAACAACAGAUGAGCCAUAUUUUUCAUUGACUUUAUACAUGAUUGUCACCAUUAGUUCCUUUUUUUAUA